rnacentral:rRNA from 1 species
AGAGUUUGAUCAUGGCUCAGGAUGAACGCUAGCGGCAGGCUUAACACAUGCAAGUCGAGGGGUAUAGGUUUUCGGACCUAGAGACCGGCGCACGGGUGCGUAACGCGUAUGCAAUCUACCUUUUACAGAGGGAUAGCCCAGAGAAAUUUGGAUUAAUACCUCAUAGUAUUAUUGAAUGGCAUCAUUUAAUAAUUAAAGUCACAACGGUAAAAGAUGAGCAUGCGUCCCAUUAGCUUGUUGGUAAGGUAACGGCUUACCAAGGCAACGAUGGGUAGGGGUCCUGAGAGGGAGAUCCCCCACACUGGUACUGAGACACGGACCAGACUCCUACGGGAGGCAGCAGUGAGGAAUAUUGGUCAAUGGGCGCAAGCCUGAACCAGCCAUGCCGCGUGCAGGAUGAAGCAUCUAUGGUGUGUAAACUGCUUUUGUACGAGAAGAAACACUCCUUCGUGAAGGAGCUUGACGGUAUCGUAAGAAUAAGGACCGGCUAACUCCGUGCCAGCAGCCGCGGUAAUACGGAGGGUCCAAGCGUUAUCCGGAAUCAUUGGGUUUAAAGGGUCCGUAGGCGGUUUUGUAAGUCAGUGGUGAAAGCCCAUCGCUCAACGGUGGAACGGCCAUUGAUACUGCAAGACUUGAAUUAUUGGGAAGCAACUAGAAUAUGUAGUGUAGCGGUGAAAUGCUUAGAGAUUACAUGGAAUACCAAUUGCGAAGGCAGGUUGCUACCAAUACAUUGACGCUGAUGGACGAAAGCGUGGGGAGCGAACAGGAUUAGAUACCCUAGUAGUCC